GACGAACGCUGGCGGCGUGCUUAACACAUGCAAGUCGAACGGAAAGGCCUGCUUUCCCUUGUGGAUUGCGGGUACUCGAGUGGCGAACGGGUGAGUAACACGUGAGUGAUCUGCCCCCAACUUGGGUAUAAGCCUGGGAAACUGGGUCUAAUUCCCGAUAGGACUGCAGGGUGGUGCCUGUGGUGGAAAACGAUUUUCUAGUGGUUGGGGAUGAGCUCGCGGCGUAUCAGCUUGUUGGUGGGGUAAUGGCCUACCAAGGCGGCGACGGGUAGCCGGCCUGAGAGGGUGGACGGCCAAAUUGGGACUGAGAUACGGCCCAGACUCCUACGGGAGGCAGCAGUGGGGAAUAAUGCACAAUGGGCGGAAGCCUGAUGCAGCGACGCCGCGUGGGGGAUGACGGCCUUCGGGUUGUAAACUCCUUUCGACCGCGAGGAAGCCACCUGGUUGGAAGGGUGGUGACGGUAGUGGUAGAAGAAGCACCGGCUAACUACGUG
rnacentral:rRNA from 1 species